rnacentral:rRNA from 1 species
AGUGAACGCUGGCGGUAGGCCUAACACAUGCAAGUCGAACGGCAGCACAGUAAGAGCUUGCUCUUACGGGUGGCGAGUCGCAGACGGGUGAGAAAUACAUCGGAAUCUACUUUUUCGUGGGGGAUAACGUAGGGAAACUUACGCUAAUACCGCAUACGACCUACGGGUGAAAGCAGGGGAUCUUCGGACCUUGCGCGAUUGGAUGAGCCGAUGUCGGAUUAGCUAGUUGGCGGGGUAAAGGCCCACCAAGGCGACGAUCCGUCGCUGGUCUGAGAGGAUGAUCAGCAACACGGGAACUGGGACACGGUCCAGACUCCUACGGGAGGCAGCAGUGGGGAAUAUUGGACAUUGGGCGCAAGCCUGAUCCAGACAUACCGCGUGGGUGAAGAAGGCCUUCGGGUUGUAAAGCCCGUUUGUUGGGAAAGAAAAGCAUCAGGUUAAUACCCCGCUGGUCUGACGGUACCCAAAGAAUAAGCACCGGCUAACUUCGUG